rnacentral:rRNA from 1 species
UCGAGUCCUGAAAUAUCAUGCUCUUGGCUGAGGAAUUGGCGGGGGAGCACAGUAAUAGGCGGGUGGUAUACACACGGGCUCGGGCAAUACCGGCCACCGUUUCGCCGGGGUUUCACCGGGGGCCCGAGUGGUGAUCGUGAUUAUUGGGUCUAAAGGGUCCGUAGCCGGUUUGGUCAGUCCUCCGGGAAAUCUGAUAACUCAACUAUUAGGCUUUCGGGGGAUACUGCCAAACUUGCAACCGGGAGAGGUAAAAGGUACUACAGGGGUAGGAGUGAAAUCUUGUAAUCCCUGUGGGACCACCUGUGGUGAAGGCGUCUUACCAGAACGGGUUCGACGGUAGGGACUAAAGCUGGGGGCACGAACCGGAUUAGAUACCCGGGUAGUCCCAACCGUAAACGAUGCUCGCUAAGUGUCAGGCAUGGCGCGACCGUGUCUGGUGCCGCAGGAAGCCUUGAAGCGAUCCACCUGGGAAGUACGGCCGCAAGGCUGAAACUUAAAGGAAUUGGCG